UACCAUUUCUUCAAGCUCCAUGGACGGCUAGCAGUCAGCAAGGGAGCAACCGAAAACUUUCAACAUUUCCUCUACAAAAACUCACUCAAAUCACCACCAAACCUUCAUAGAUUCACACCAAACUUCACAUACACUUAGCUCUACACUUGGACAACACUUUGAGCUUCAAAAGGGAGGAGCUUUCACGGUUUCUUGGAGCUACAAGGAGGGCCGAAAUUUUGGUCUUAAGCACCAAGGAGGACUGGAAUGGAGUAAACGCGGAGAAAUCUCCUUUUGGAUAUAUUUUGUUUUAGGGUUUCAAGUGUAUUUUGGCUUGAUCCCUUUAUGAUUGUACUUUUGGAAGUUUAAUGUAUCAUUCGGAUAUAUGUGAUGUAUAUUUUGGAAUUUAAGUUGUAUUAUGAACACCCGACGUGCGGGUUGGAUAAUGGAUGGAUAGUGUUAAGCAUGAACGCUUCCGCACUAUAUGUAUUUGUACUAAUUUGAUUGUGGUAUCUAGUAUCGCUUUAAGUUUGAACGUUUA